ACCCAGGCUUUGAGUCACCAAAGCUGUGGCCCUUGGAAAAGGUGGCAAUGUGUGUGUUUUUUUUCCCCCCACAGGGGGACUUCAAUCCCCACAGAGACUGACCAGCACACUUUUUAUUUUUUUGUGCUGGUACUGGAGCUUGAGCCACAACUCCAUUUUCAGCAUUUUGCUGUUUUAUUGUUGAUAAGAAUUUUGGCUAUAUCUCCCCCCAGCUGGCUUUGAAUCUUUGUCUUAUUAAAAUCUCAGACUUCUAAAGUAGCUAGGAUUACAGGCCUGAACCACCAGUGCCUGGCUCUUUGUUUUGUUUUUGAAUUGGCAUUUACCCACUUGUCAGUCAUGAAUUCUCUAUUUAAAGUGAUUUCAACCUAAUUGUGACCUGUUUACUAUCAGAUGUUCUGGUUUAAGCAGCCUUUUGUAAUUAAUGAAGGUUUAAAUUAUUUUGGUGUUUCCUCACUGGCUGAAACCACAACAUUCCUAAACUAUUGCCAGCUUUGAAAAGAGGGUCAGUGUGGACAUGAUAUUCCUAUGAAGUCACUCCAUAACCCCAAAGUUGUCUACUCUUAAUGACACUGGGAGUCAACUGAAUUGUGGCAGGUUAAUGAUGACUGCGACUUUGGUUUGAAUUUGGGUGAAAGCCCCUAAAGCAUUAUCAUGCCAGACUCUGGCUUUCCACCACAGGUAAAGGCAGUUUGGAGCUAGCUUAGCUACUCAGAGAUUGUCCUCCAGCUGUCAGGUGAGGCCUUACACAGGGCCUUUGCAGGUCAUGCUCACCUCCAGGUGGCAUCUCUUCUAGUGUAGAGCAGAAAUAGGAACCACAAGGGCUCUUAGCCAGCAACUUGUCUGGAGGGUAGGGAGCCCUUUUAAGACUUGCUUAAGCACCUUGAGGCUAUGGGAAGGUCACCUCAGUGUCUAAGGACAACGGAGCAGCUUUUUUUUUUUUUUUUUUGGUAAGGCCGAAUAAAUGAUGGCAGCACCAUCUCCCUAAGAGAUUCAGUUGUGACUGUUCUGAGGAGGGGCUGAUAGUAAUUUGAAGAGCUUUGUUGAGAUUGUAGCUGUGAUUCCUAGUCAAAGUCAGGGCUGCCCUUUAUUCUUAGUUACCUGGGAGGAAAUUUAGGAGCCCUUCCUGAUAGAGGAAUGGAACUGAGAAAGGUGUAGGGAUCCAUAGGAGUUAGGGACAAAUGAGGAUAGGAGAGGAUGCAGCAGGUUCCUGCCGCCACUAGGUCAGUCUUGUGGUAGCCCUUCUGGGAGGCUUAUUUUGCCUUCCUUCUUCCCUUCCAAUUGUCAGAUUUGUAGAGACUCUUGGCUUUGGAGUUAUUCACAGGUAAAAACCUUUCUUUGCUCUUGUACUAGCUAACUUGGAGGGAGGUGGGCAACAUUAGAGGCUAGCUAGUUGUAUGUAUUGUGAAUGAUAGGCCACAACUAUGUGGCAUACUG